GAGUUUGAUUCUGGCUCAGAACGAACGCUGGCGGCAGGCCUAAGACAUGCAAGUCGUACGAGAAAGCCCUUUCGGGGGUGAGUAGAGUGGCGAGCGGGUAGUAACGCGUGGGAACAUACACAGCACAGGGGGAUAACCAUUGGAAACGAUGGCUAAUACCGCAUACGCCCUAAGGGGGAAAGAUUUAUCGGUGUUGGAUUGGCCCGCGUUAGAUUAGCUAGUUGGUGGGGUAAUUGCCUACCAAGGCGACGAUUUAUAGCUGGUUUGAGAGGAUGAUCAGCAACACUGGAACUGAGACACGGUCCAGACUCCUACGGGAGGCAGCAGUCGGGAAUAUUGUGCAAUGGGGGCAACCCUGACACAGCCAUGCCGCGUGAGUGAAGAAGGCCUUAGGGUUGUAAAGCUCUUUCAGAUGUGAGGAUGAUGACGAUAGCAUCACAAGAAGCUCCGGCUAACUUCGUGCCAGCAGCCGCGGUAAUACGAAGGGAGCAAGCGUUGUUCGGAAUUACUGGGCGUAAAGGGCGUGUAGGCGGAUUAUCAAGUUAGGGGUGAAAUCCCGGGGCUCAACCUCGGCACUGCCUUUAAGACUGAUAAUCUAGAGUAUGUGAGGGGAUAAUGGAAUACCUAGUGUAGAGGUGAAAUUCGUAGAUAUUAGGUGGAACACCAGUGGCGAAGGCGAUUAUCUGGCACAUUACUGACGCUGAGGCGCGAAAGCGUGGGGAGCAAACGGGAUUAGAUACCCCGGUAGUCCACGCCGUAAACGAUGUAUACUAGUUGUCGGGCAUUGGUUCGGUGACGCAGCUAACGCAUUAAGUAUACCGCCUGGGGAGUACGGUCGCAAGAUUAAAACUCAAAGAAAUUGACGGGGACCCGCACAAGCGGUGGAGCAUGUGGGUUAAUUCGAAGCAACGCGAAGAACCUUACCCACCUUUGACAUGGUA
rnacentral:rRNA from 1 species